rnacentral:rRNA from 1 species
UGGGGAAUAUUGGACAAUGGGCGCAAGCCUGAUCCAGCCAUGCCGCGUGGGUGAAGAAGGCCCUAGGGUUGUAAAGCACUUUCAGUAGGGAAGAUUAUGACGGUACCUACAAAAGAAGCACCGGCUAACUCCGUGCCAGCAGCCGCGGUAAUACGGAGGGUGCGAGCGUUAAUCGGAAUUACUGGGCGUAAAGCGCACGUAGGUGGUUUGGUAAGUCGGAUGUGAAAUCCCCGGGCUUAACCUGGGAAUUGCAUUCGAUACUGCCUCACUAGAGUCUAGCAGAGGGAUGCGGAAUUCCGGGUGUAGCGGUGAAAUGCGUAGAGAUCCGGAGGAACAUCAGUGGCGAAGGCGGCAUCCUGGGCUAAGACUGACACUGAGGUGCGAAAGCGUGGGGAGCAAACAGGAUUAGAUACCCCCGUAGUCC